AUUGAACGCUGGCGGUAUGCCUUACACAUGCAAGUCGAACGGUAGGGGGAGCAAUCCCCUGAGAGUGGCGAACGGGUGAGUAAUACAUCGGAACGUGCCCAGUCGUGGGGGAUAACGUAGCGAAAGCUACGCUAAUACCGCAUGCGACCUGAGGGUGAAAGCGGGGGACCGAAAGGCCUCGCGCGAUUGGAGCGGCCGAUGGCAGAUUAGGUAGUUGGUGGGGUAAAGGCCCACCAAGCCUGCGAUCUGUAGCUGGUCUGAGAGGACGACCAGCCACACUGGGACUGAGACACGGCCCAGACUCCUACGGGAGGCAGCAGUGGGGAAUUUUGGACAAUGGGCGCAAGCCUGAUCCAGCCAUACCGCGUGCGGGAAGAAGGCCUCGGUGUAACG
rnacentral:rRNA from 1 species